AACGGCGGAAGAUUCACUCAGUUGUGUGGGUUGCCUGCAUUCCCGGGGAUGCUGUUUGCGGGCUUCUUACUGGCAAACAUCCCAGGCGUCAGGAUCAUCGGCGACAGCAUCGAACCAAACUGGCACCUCGCGGUCAGGAACUUUUCGCUGGUGGUGAUCUUAACCCGGGCCGGUCUAUAUUUGGAACCUAAAGUCCUCAAGACGAUGUAUCUAGCGGU